AGAGGGUUGAGUUUUGCAGGUUUUCCAAAUGUUGAUGCACGGGUACUAAUGCAGAAGAACAGUCCGUCAGGAAUCAUUACUAGAAACGCAGCUUAAUUUUAGUAACAGUUUUAAUAGUGCAGGAGCAAUGUGAAUUAAAGUAACAAUUGCUUGUUCUAAUCUCGUGUAUCAGCAUGAAAACUGAUCACCUGGAGGACUCGCGGAGGGGGGAUUGCCAUGUACGUACAGCAUGACAGGUAGCUGCGGAUAACAUAAGCUUUUGCCUGCAGGCAGAACACACUUGACUGUGCUAAUUGGACUCAAAGGAAAUGCUUAGUUUAUAAUAGCAAAUGAAGAAUUCAUUAAAUUCUAGCAAGGAAAAAAGUCAAGCAAUGGAACUGGACAUUAUUUUUUGAACACGUCCUCCCUUUCAAGCAGACUCAGUUAUUUCAGAUCCUCAGUGCCAGCCUGGCAUUAGUUCAGAAACAUGGAUGCAAGGGGGUUGGGAGUGCAUCGCAGCCUCUGUGGCAUCUGGCUUAGCUCCUGCACACCUCACUGCCUGGAGUCGCUGAACUGGGGAUCAACUUGAGCUCCAUAUUUGUCUCCUGGGAGAAAUCUUACAUCUAGAUUUCCUUGGAACAAAUCUGAUGUUGCUUUUGGAUACAGUUUGCUUAGAGCAGCAAAACCAAGUCAACAGUAGUU
rnacentral:lncRNA from 1 species